rnacentral:rRNA from 1 species
UUUGAGCGUCUUUUUUAUCGUUCUCCCGAUUAUUCGAUGCUUCGCUUGUUUGGUUGUGUUUGCUAUGUUCUUCUUGCCCCUCGCGAACGCACCAAACUGACCGCUCAGUCUGUUGAGUGUGUCUUCUUAGGCUACAGUGAUGAGCAUAAGGGCUAUCGUUGUUGGGAUCCUAUCGGUCGUCGGAUGCGUAUCUCUCGCGACGUGACUUUUGAUGAGUCUCGUCCUUUCUACCCACGCCCAUCUUCCUCGAUUUUUUCAGUGGAGGAUAUCUCUUUUCUCACUUUUCCUGACUCACCUAUCACCCCCGUCGCGCCUGUGCCUAUU